CUGCUACUCCCUCCGUUCGGAAUUACUUGUCUCAGAAAUGGGUGUAUCUAGAACUAAAAUACGUCUAGAUACAUCCAUUUAUGCGACAAGUAAUUCCGAACGGAGGGAGUACAAU
rnacentral:pre_miRNA from 1 species